GAUGAAGAACGUAGCGAAAUGCGAUAAGUAAUGUGAAUUGCAGAAUUCAGUGAAUCAUCGAAUCUUUGAACGCACAUUGCGCCCCCUGGUAUUCCGGGGGGCAUGCCUGUCCGAGCGUCAUUGCUGCCCUCAAGCACGGCUUGUGUGUUGGGCCCCGUCCUCCGAUCCCGGGGGACGGGCCCGAAAGGCAGCGGCGGCACCGCGUCCGGUCCUCGAGCGUAUGGGGCUUUGUCACCCGCUCUGUAGGCCCGGCCGGCGCUUGCCGAUCAACCCAAAUUUUUAUCCUGGUUGACCUCGGAUCAGGUAGGGAUACCCGCUGAACUUAAGCAUAUCAAUAAGCGGAGGA
rnacentral:misc_RNA from 1 species